rnacentral:sRNA from 1 species
UGAAGCAGUACGUGUUGGGCCAGUCCCUUA